CUAAACAUUCUAACAUAUUGUUAGAAUGUUUAGAAAAUUUUUUAUGCAGAUGUGAGACCAUCCUGAGCUGUUCCUAUUAUUUGUAAGAAAGCAGUGAUAUUUUCGUAUGCUUCUCUAUGGAAAUGGAUUUAUUUAGAAUUUUCUUCUUUUUUGGUUUGGGCAGAGGAGCGUCACCCUGUGGCCACCAGAAGCACAGGCUUAGGAGGAGUACUUCCAGGCUACCGCCAAUGACCCUUCAAAGCUCAAAGGCUCUUCAGUCAGCUUGU
rnacentral:lncRNA from 10 species